AAUAUCAAAGGUGAGCCAGUACAGGAUGGACCCGCGUCUGAUUAGCUAGUUGGUAAGGUAACGGCUUACCAAGGCGACGAUCAGUAGCCGACCUGAGCGGGUGAUCGGCCACAUUGGAACUGAGACACGGUCCAAACUCCUACGGGAGGCAGCAGUGGGGAAUAUUGCACAAUGGGCGAAAGCCUGAUGCAGCAACGCCGCGUGAGUGAUGAAGGCCUUCGGGUCGUAAAACUCUGUCCUCAAGGAAGAUAAUGACGGUACUUGAGGAGGAAGCCCCGGCUAACUACGUGCCAGCAGCCGCGGUAAUACGUAGGGGGCUAGCGUUAUCCGGAUUUACUGGGCGUAAAGGGUGCGUAGGCGGUCUUUCAAGUCAGGAGUGAAAGGCUACGGCUCAACCGUAGUAAGCUCUUGAAACUGGGAGACUUGAGUGCAGGAGAGGAGAGUGGAAUUCCUAGUGUAGCGGUGAAAUGCGUAGAUAUUAGGAGGAACACCAGUUGCGAAGGCGGCUCUCUGGACUGUAACUGACGCUGAGGCACGAAAGCGUGGGGAGCAAACAGGAUUAGAUACCCUGGUAGUCCACGCUGUAAACGAUGAGUACUAGGUGUCGGGGGUUACCCCC
rnacentral:rRNA from 1 species